rnacentral:rRNA from 1 species
CCGGACGCACGGGUGAGUAACGCGUAUGCGACCUGCCCGUUGCAGGGGGAUAAUCGGGAGAAAUCCCGUCUAAUACCGCGUAACGCCGCGGGGCUGCAUGGCCCUGCGGCCAAAGGGAGCGAUUCCGGCAACGGAUGGGCAUGCGUGACAUUAGCUAGUUGGCGGGGCAACGGCCCACCAAGGCGACGAUGUCUAGGGGUUCUGAGAGGAAGGUCCCCCACACUGGUACUGAGACACGGACCAGACUCCUACGGAAGGCAGCAG